rnacentral:rRNA from 1 species
GACGAACGCUAGCGGCAGGCCUAAUACAUGCAAGUCGAACGGUAAGGUCCCUUCGGGGAUACACGAGUGGCGCACGGGUGCGUAACGCGUAUGCAACCUACCCUAAAGAGGGGGAAAGUCGCGGGAAACUGCGAAUAAUACCCCAUGGUAUCUUAAGGUUUCAUGAUCUAAAGAUUAAAGUUCCGGCGCUUUAGGAUGGGCAUGCGUCCCAUUAGUUAGUUGGUAAGGUAACGGCUUACCAAGGCAAUGAUGGGUAGCUGGUCUGAGAGGAUGAUCAGCCACACGGGCACUGAGACACGGGCCCGACUCCUACGGGAGGCAGCAGUAAGGAAUAUUGGUCAAUGGGGGCAACCCUGAACCAGCCAUGCCGCGUGGAGGAAGAAGGCCCUCUGGGUCGUAAACUGCUUUUCUGAGGGACUAAAGAUAUUCUAUAUGGGUAUUUGCAGGUACCUUAGGAAUAAGCACCGGCUAACUACG